GUCACUCUGACCAUGCCCUCACAAGCAUGGUCAGGCACACCUGUAGCCAGCCCCUAAGUAGGCAUGGCUACAGCUUCCCCUACACAGCUGCAGAAAGACACUGGACUAGACAGAGAAAACCACUGAACUGAAUCAGCCGGAGAAGAAAAACUUUGGAUACCAUAAAAGUUGAUCCGGUUACAGUGGAAAAGGAAAAACCUCUUUAUGAGGACAAAUGACAGGAAAACUCAUCUCCAGAAGGCAAAGGACACUGCAUGGGUAGAUGCUUAAGAAGAAAAGGUAGCUAUAACCAUCAAACAAAUGGAAAGUGCCUUAUGGUAAAAUUUACAGCUGUCUCUCAGAUAAUUCUAUUUCUCUUUAUUUCCUAGUUCCUAUUCAAUUAAACCAAUGCUGGAUUUAGAGGUGUAUUUGGCUUUCCCCCUCUAAAAUCCAAGCAGGUUGUUUAACUAAACUUUAGAGUUUCUGUAUUGUGUCAAGUAGCCAAUUGAUUAUACAGAAUAAGAGUUGAAUUUGGGGACUGCCUUUGUCUUUUCUUGGCUCUUUCCUUCAACAUGUACACACUCUCAUAAUUG
rnacentral:lncRNA from 1 species